rnacentral:rRNA from 1 species
CCCUUAGAUGUUCUGGGCUGCACGCGCGCUACACUGAUGCAUGCAACGAGUUUUCGACCUUGCCUGAAAAGGUUGGGUAAUCUGUUUAACAUGUGUCGUGAUGGGGAUAGACCAUUGCAAUUAUUGAUCUUCAACGAGGAAUUCCUAGUAAGCGCGAGUCAUCAGCUCGUGCUGAUUAUGUCCCUGCCCUUUGUACACACCGCCCGUCGCUCCUACCUAUUGAGUGAUCCGGUGAAUGAUUCGGACCAGCGUGCUGCUCAGAUCCUGCGCAGUGUGCUGGGAAGUCUAGUGAACCUUAUCACUUAGAGGAAGGAGAAGUCGUAACA